GUAGGGGGCAAGCGUUGUCCGGAAUUAUUGGGCGUAAAGCGCGCGCAGGCGGUCUCUUAAGUCUGAUGUGAAAGCCCACGGCUCAACCGUGGAGGGUCAUUGGAAACUGGGGGACUUGAGUGUAGGAGAGGAAAGUGGAAUUCCACGCGUAGCGGUGAAAUGCGUAGAUAUGUGGAGGAACACCAGUGGCGAAGGCGACUUUCUGGCCUACAACUGACGCUGAGGUGCGAAAGCGUGGGGAGCAAACAGGGAUUAGAUACCCUGGUAGUCCACGCCGUAAACGAUGAGUGCUAGGUGUUAGGGGUUUCGAUGCCCUUAGUGCCGAAGUUAACAAAUUAAGCACUCCGCCUGGGGAGUACGGCCGCAAGGCUG
rnacentral:rRNA from 1 species